rnacentral:rRNA from 1 species
AACGAACGCUGGCGGCAGGCCUAACACAUGCAAGUCGAGCGAAGCCUUCGGGCUUAGCGGCGGACGGGUGAGUAACGCGUGGGAACGUGCCCUUUGGUACGGAAUAGCCCCGGGAAACUGGGAGUAAUACCGUAUGUGGUCGAGAGACGAAAGAUUUAUCGCCAAAGGAUCGGCCCGCGUUGGAUUAGGUAGUUGGUGGGGUAAUGGCCUACCAAGCCGACGAUCCAUAGCUGGUUUGAGAGGAUGAUCAGCCACACUGGGGCUGAGACAUGGCCCAGACUCCUACGGGAGGCAGCAGUGGGGAAUCUUAGGCAAUGGGGGAAACCCUGAUCUAGCCAUGCCGCGUGAUCGAUGAAGGCCUUAGGGUUGUAAAGAUCUUUCAGUGGGGAAGAUAAUGACUGUACCCACAGAAGAAGCCCCGGCUAACUCCGUGCCAGCCGCCGCCGUAA